rnacentral:pre_miRNA from 1 species
AAAGUACUCCCUCCGUCACAUAUUAAGUGUCGGAAUAUUACAUGUAUCUUGACGCGUUUUAGUGUGUAGAUACAUCCAUAUUUAGAUAAAUUUGAGACACUUAAUAUGGGACGGAGAGAGUGCCAG